rnacentral:rRNA from 1 species
UACGGGGGGGGCAAGCGUUGUUCGGAAUUACUGGGCGUAAAGGCUCGUAGGCGGCCAACUAAGUCGGGUGUGGAACCUCCAGGCUCAACCUGGAGACGCCACCCGAUACUGUCGUGACUAGAGUCCAGUAGGGGAGCGUGGAAUUCCUGGUGUAGCGGUGAAAUGCGCAGAUAUCAGGAGGAACACCAGCGGCGAAGGCGGCGCUCUGGGCUGGAACUGACGCUGAGGAGCGAAAGCGUGGGGAGCGAACAGGAUUAGAACCGGUACCGUCGAGACCAAGUCCAGU